GCAGUCUGUGAAGAUGUGGAAGAUUCAAGUAAUACUGCUGGCUGUCAUUUUAGUGGCAUCAACCAACGCCAGGCUUCGCUCUGAACCACCUGAAGAAAAUGAAUCACCCGGUGCAUUUGAGUCCGAUAUUAUAUUGACCCCGGAACAAGCAGAUGCAAUAGAAGAAGAAAUUGCAAACCAGAAUAUUAGAGGAGGAUAACAAUGACAGCAUGUGUAAUGUAAUGAUUAUUCAUGCAAACAACUUAUUAAACACGGUGGUUGGUGUCGGUUAUGAAUUGUAAAUUCCAACACAUGUCACGUGAUGUAUAUGUAGGAAUAUAAUAUACAUAUAAAUAUUGUAUUAUUUCAU